CGGGGGGGGGCGAGCGUUGUUCGGAAUUACUGGGCGUAAAGAGCUCGUAGGCGGCCUGGUUUAGUCGGACGUGAAAUCCCUCGGGCUCAACCGAGGAACUGCGUCCGAUACUGGCAGGCUUGAAUCCCGGGAGAGGGAUGCGGAAUUCCAGGUGUAGCGGUGAAAUGCGUAGAUAUCUGGAGGAACACCGGUGGCGAAGGCGGCAUCCUGGACCGGUAUUGACGCUGAGGAGCGAAAGCCAGGGUAGCAAACGGGAUUAGAUACCCCGGUAGUCCUGGCCCUAAACGAUGAAUGCUUGGUGUGGCGGGUAUCGAUCCCUGCUGUGCCGGAGCUAACGCAUUAAGCAUUCCGCCUGGGGAGUACGGUCGCAAGGCUG
rnacentral:rRNA from 1 species